AGGGUUUGAUCCUGGCUCAGAACGAACGCUGGCGGCAGGCCUAACACAUGCAAGUCGAGCGCAGUCCUUCGGGACCGAGCGGCGGACGGGUUAGUAACGCGUGGGAACAUACCCUUUUCUACGGAAUAGCCUCGGGAAACUGAGAGUAAUACCGUAUAAGCCCUUCGGGGGAAAGAUUUAUCGGGAAAGGAUUGGCCCGCGUUAGAUUAGAUAGUUGGUGGGGUAAUGGCCUACCAAGUCUACGGUCUAUAGCUGGUUUUAGAGGAUGAUCAGCAACACUGGGACUGAGACACGGCCCAGACUCCUACGGGAGGCAGCAGUGGGGAAUCUUAGACAAUGGGCGCAAGCCUGAUCUAGCCAUGCCGCGUGUGUGAUGAAGGUCUUAGGAUCGUAAAGCACUUUCGCCAGGGAUGAUAAUGACAGUACCUGGUAAAGAAACCCCGGCUAACUCCGUGCCAGCAGCCGCGGUAAUACGGAGGGGGUUAGCGUUGUUCGGAAUUACUGGGCGUAAAGCGUACGUAGGCGGAUUGGAAAGUUGGGGGUGAAAUCCCAGGGCUCAACCCUGGAACUGCCUCCAAAACUAUCAGUCUAGAGUUCGAGAGAGGUGAGUGGAAUUCCAAGUGUAGAGGUGAAAUUCGUAGAUAUUUGGAGGAACACCAGUGGCGAAGGC
rnacentral:rRNA from 1 species